rnacentral:lncRNA from 1 species
UUAGGGACCACGCAGGAUACUGUAUCAGGGCAUUCUCAGCAUCGUAUGGCCCAUGUUUCAUUUUGGAGGCUGAACUCAGAGCCAUACUAGAUAGGCUUCUAUUGGCCAGAGGACUUGGGAUUUCAGCUAUCUGGCUUGAGGCAGAUUCAACAUUGGCUAUUCACUGCAUUACCAAAGGUGGAGGACCAUGGUCGAUUCAGGGUAUUCUUAGACAGAUCAGAGACCUCAUCUACUUCGAUAGAGACACGGUUUCACACAUCUACAGAGAAGGCAACCAGGUUGCUGAUUCUCUUGCUACAGAAGGCUGGAAUCAUCGGCGCUAUCUAGAGUAUGGACCACUAGAACUGCCUCGACAUAUUAGGGCGAUAGUGCGGAUCGACAGACAUGGAUUGCCCAGUUUCAGAGGCUCGUAAUUUAGACUUUUCUUUAUUGUAUAGGGAAGUAGUACUUCCUCAUUUAUUGCUUUCAUUUAUAAUAUUCAUUUGUUGCAUCA